UUGCUGUGAUGACCAUCUUAGGACACCUUUGGAAUAUCCAUGAAAAAACCAUGAAUUCUUUCUGAGCAAC
rfam:Egretta garzetta contig100254, whole genome shotgun sequence.